UACGGGGGGGGCAAGCGUUGUUCGGAAUUACUGGGCGUAAAGGGCUCGUAGGCGGCCAACUAAGUCAGACGUGAAAUCCCUCGGCUUAACCGGGGAACUGCAUCUGAUACUGGAUGGCUUGAGUUCGGGAGAGGGAUGCGGAAUUCCAGGUGUAGCGGUGAAAUGCGUAGAUAUCUGGAGGAACACCGGUGGCGAAGGCGGCAUCCUGGACCGGCACUGACGCUGAGGAGCGAAAGCCAGGGGAGCAGACGGG
rnacentral:rRNA from 1 species